GGUAGAGUCCAGUGUGUGGGUAGAGUCCAGUGUGUGGGUAGAGUCCAGUGUGUGGGGGGGAGAUCCAGUGUGUGGGGAGAGUCCAGUGUGUGGGUAGAGUCCAGUGUGUGGGUAGAGUCCAGUGUGUGGGUAGAUCCAGUGUGUGGGUAGAGUCCAGUGUGUGGGUAGAGUCCUGUGUGUGGGUAGAGUCCAGUGUGUGGGUAGAGUCCAGUGUGUGGGUAGAGUCCAGUGUGUGGUAGAGUCCAGUGUGUGGGUAGAGUCCAGUGUGUGGGUAGAGUCCUGUGUGUGGGUAGAGUCCAGUGUGUGGGUAGAUCCAGUGUGUGGGUAGAGUCCAGUGUGUGGGUAGAGUCCAGUGUGUGGGUAGAGUCCAGUGUGUGGGUAGAGUCCUGUGUGUGGGUAGAGUCCAGUGUGUGGGUAGAGUCCAGUGUGUGGGUAGAGUCCAGUGUGUGGGUAGAGUCCAGUGUGUGGGUAGAGUCCAGUGUGUGGGUAGAGUCCAGUGUGUGGGUAGAGUCCAGUGUGUGGGUAGAGUCCAGUGUGUGGAUAGAGUCCAGUGUGUGGGUAGAGUCCAGUGUGUGGGUAGAGUCCAGUGUGUGGGUAGAGUCCAGUGUGUGGGUAGAGUCCAGUGUGUGGGUAGAGUCCAGUGUGUGGGUAGAGUCCAGUGUGUGGGUAGAGUCCAGUGUGUGGGUAGAGUCCAGUGUGUGGGUAGAGUCGAGUGUGUGAAUAGAGUCCAGUGUGUGGGUAGAGUCCAGUGUGUGGGUAGAGUCCAGUGUGUGGGUAGAGUCCAGUGUGUUGGUAGAGUCCAGUGUGUGGGUAGAGUCCAGUGUGUGGGUAGAGUCCAGUGUGUGAGUAGAGU
rnacentral:lncRNA from 1 species